rnacentral:rRNA from 1 species
GACGAACGCUGGCGGCGUGCCUAAUACAUGCAAGUCGAACGCAGUGGGGACGGGUGAGUAACACGUCGGUAUCCUCCCAUCAGAGGGGAUAACACUUGGAAACAGGUGCAAAACCGAUACUGAUGGAUGGCCCCGCGGUGCAUUAGCUAGGUGGUGAGGUAACGGCUCACCAAGGCCACGAUGCCUCGCCGUCCUGAGAGGGUGAUCGGCCACACUGGGACUGAGAAACGGCCCAGACUCCUACGGGAGGCAGCAGUAGGGAAUCUUCGGCAAUGGACGAGAGUCUGAUCGAGCAACGCCGCGUGAGUGAAGAAGGUUUGCGGAUGGUAAAGCUCUGUUGUUAGAGAAGCGGUAUCUAACCAGAAAGCAACGGCUAACUACGUGCCAGCAGCCGCGGUAAUUC